GCUUUCCUCUCGGUGAGUUUCAUAGUGUUUGCUUGUGUCAAUCUGUUUGCUAACGUGGAGAGGAAACCAACGCCAGGAGGCGCACAAGUGUGUUAACACAAUCCGAACUGCCGUGUUUCCCGACGAGCUGAUUUCGCAAUGCCAGAAACAAUUCCAGCCAGCUGCAAAUCUGCAGACUGCCAAGACCAAAACACAGAAUAAAAUUCAAACUUCAAGCUGCCAAGGGGAUGAAGAUUGUAUUAUGCAUUGCGUUUUUCAAAAAUCUGGAAUGCUUGAUUCAAAAGGCAACGUAGUUUUGAAAGACAUUUUGAAAAAGUACAUUGCAAAAGGGAAAACAGGUGACUUUGAAGCAAAAUCUUCCAUUCUGAAUGUGGUAAACGAAUGUUUUGACCAAACUCAAG